AACGCACCUUGCGCCCCUUGGUAUUCCGAGGGGCAUGCCUGUUUGAGUGUCAUGUUAAUCUCAAACCCCUUGUCUUUGUCGACUCGGUCGGUUUGGACUUGGAGGUGUUGCUGGCAUACACUGCUAUGUCGGCUCCUCUUAAUUGCAUUAGCUGGACUUUGGUUCGCAUCGACGGUGUAAUAGUAAAGUGUUCGCCGGGUGUGUGCUUGCCUAACGGGUCUGCUUCUAAUCGUCUUCGGACAAAGUCGACUUUGACCUUUGACCUCAAAUCAGGUAGGACUACCCGCUGAACUUAA
rnacentral:misc_RNA from 1 species